UGAGGAAUAUUGGUCAAUGGACGGAAGUCUGAACCAGCCAAGUAGCGUGCAGGAUGACGGCCCUAUGGGUUGUAAACUGCUUUUGUAUGGGGAUAAAGUCAGUCACGUGUGAUUGUUUGCAGGUACCAUACGAAUAAGGACCGGCUAAUUCCGUGCCAGCAGCCGCGGUAAUACGGAAGGUCCAGGCGUUAUCCGGAUUUAUUGGGUUUAAAGGGAGCGUAGGCUGGAGAUUAAGUGUGUUGUGAAAUGUAGACGCUCAACGUCUGACUUGCAGCGCAUACUGGUUUCCUUGAGUACGCACAACGUUGGCGGAAUUCGUCGUGUAGCGGUGAAAUGCUUAGAUAUGACGAAGAACUCCGAUUGCGAAGGCAGCUGACGGGAGCGCAACUGACGCUUAAGCUCGAAGGUGCGGGUAUCGAACAGGAUUAGAUACCCUGGUAGUCCGCACAGUAAACGAUGGAUGCCCGCUGUUGGUACCUGGUAUCAGCGGCUAAGCGAAAGCAUUAAGCAUCCCACCUGGGGAGUACGCCGGCAACGGUG
rnacentral:rRNA from 1 species